CGGACCGUAGCGCAGCCCGGUAGCGCGUUCGUCUGGGGGACGAAAGGUCGUGGGUUCGAAUCCCGCCGGUCCGACCA
rnacentral:tRNA from 1 species